rnacentral:tRNA from 2 species
AAAAAGAUAAGCUAAAUAAGCUAAUGGGUUCAUACCCCAUGUAUAAAGGCCCCACCCCUUUUCUUUUUA